UACGUAGGGUGCGAGCGUUGUCCGGAAUUAUUGGGCGUAAAGGGCUCGUAGGCGGUUUGUCGCGUCGGGAGUGAAAACUCAGGGCUUAACCCUGAGCCUGCUUCCGAUACGGGCAGACUAGAGGUAUGCAGGGGAGAACGGAAUUCCUGGUGUAGCGGUGAAAUGCGCAGAUAUCAGGAGGAACACCGGUGGCGAAGGCGGUUCCCUGGGCAUUACCUGACGCUGAGGAGCGAAAGUGUGGGGAGCGAACAGG
rnacentral:rRNA from 1 species